AUGGGGCGAGGAGGCGGAGCCGAUGACCCUGGCGGCGGCGGCGGCGGAGGGGUCCCAGGGGCUCGAGGACCAACGUCUGAUGCAGCCGUGGUUCCUCGCCGUCAAGAGCUAGAUCGAGCGCACGGCGGUGUAGCCGUCCAGAGGAAGAGGAAGAGCACCCUGCGCCGGUUCGGCCGUGGCGUCACGGAUAGGAGGUCGCCGCCUCGUCGUGCAGCGCGCGAUGGUGGACCGAUGGGCGUCCAAGAGGCAUUUGACCUUGCCGGAUCACGCUGCUGCUGGCGUAAUCCAGUCCGGAUCUGUGGAGAGCCCGGCGCAGCACCGUCUACAGGACACAGGUCCAUAUCUCUUACAGUCUUACUCUACCUUAUUCCUUGUAAGUUCACGGCUUCCAUUGCUCUUCAGUUCUGGUUAGUAGUUGGAAACUGUAAAAGUAUCUGA
rnacentral:rRNA from 1 species